ACUCAUACCUGGCAGGGGAGAUAGCAUGAUCAUGAAAGUGGUUUUCCCAGAGUGAGGCUCAUCCAUUGCACUUUGGGUGUGCUGACCCCUGUGAUUUCCCCAAAAGUGGGAAAAUCACCUGCCUAAUUUAUGGUAGUGGGGGACUGCAUUUGUGGUUUCCCCUG
rnacentral:snRNA from 1 species